GACGAACGCUGGCGGCGUGCUUAACACAUGCAAGUCGAACGGUAAGGCCUUUCGGGGUCCACGAGUGGCGAACGGGUGAGUAACACGUGGGUGAUCUGCCCUGCACUUCGGGAUAAGCCCGGGAAACUGGGUCUAAUACCGGAUAGGACUGCGCGGUGCAUGCCGUGUGGUGGAAAGAUUUAUCGGUGCAGGAUGGGCCCGCGGCCUAGCAUCUUGUUGGUGGGGUAAUGGCCUACCACGGCGACGAAGGGUAGCCGGCCUGAGAGGGGGACCGGCCCCACUAGGACUGAGACACGGCACAGACUCCUACGGGAGGCAGCAGUGUGGAAUAGUGCACAAUGGGCGCAAGCCUGAUGCAGCGACGCCGCGUGAGGGAUGACGGCCUUCGGGUUGUAAACCUCUUUCAGCAGGGACGAAGCGUGAGUGACGGUACCUGAAGAAGAAGCACCGGCCAACUACGUG
rnacentral:rRNA from 1 species